AACGAACGCUGGCGGCAUGCCUAACACAUGCAAGUCGAACGAGACCUUCGGGUCUAGUGGCGCACGGGUGCGUAACGCGUGGGAACCUGCCCUUAGGUUCGGAAUAACUCCCCGAAAGGGGUGCUAAUACCGGAUAAUGUCUUCGGACCAAAGAUUUAUCGCCUUUGGAUGGGCCCGCGUUGGAUUAGCUAGUUGGUAGGGUAAAAGCCUACCAAGGCGACGAUCCAUAGCUGGUCUGAGAGGAUGAUCAGCCACACUGGGGCUGAGACACGGCCCAGACUCGUACGGGAGGCUGCAGUGGGGAAUAGUGGACAAUGGGCGAAGGCCUGAUCCAGCAAUGCGGGGUGAGUGAUGAAGGCCUUAGGGUUGUAAAGCUCUUUUACCCGGGAUGAUAAUGACAGUACCGGGAGAAUAAGCACCGGCUAACUCCGUG
rnacentral:rRNA from 1 species